UACGUAGGGCGCAAGCGUUGUCCGGAAUUAUUGGGCGUAAAGAGCUCGUAGGCGGUCUGUCGCGUCGGCUGUGAAAUCCCGAGGCUCAACCUCGGGUCUGCAGUCGAUACGGGCAAACUAGAGUAUUGCAGGGGAGACUGGAAUUCCUGGUGUAGCGGUGAAAUGCGCAGAUAUCAGGAGGAACACCGGUGGCGAAGGCGGGUCUCUGGGCCGAUACUGACGCUGGAGGAGCGAAAGCGUGGGGAGCGAACAGG
rnacentral:rRNA from 1 species